AGCAAUCUAUACAGUGAAACUGCGAAUGGCUCAUUAAAUCAGUUAUCGUUUAUUUGAUAGUACCUUACUACUUGGAUAACCGUGGUAAUUCUAGAGCUAAUACAUGCUAAAAACCUCGACUUCGGAAGGGGUGUAUUUAUUAGAUAAAAAACCAAUGCCCUUCGGGGCUCCUUGGUGAUUCAUGAUAACUUAACGAAUCGCAUGGCCUUGUGCCGGCGAUGGUUCAUUCAAAUUUCUGCCCUAUCAACUUUCGAUGGUAGGAUAGUGGCCUACCAUGGUUUCAACGGGUAACGGGGAAUUAGGGUUCUAUUCCGGAGAGGGAGCCUGAGAAACGGCUACCACAUCCAAGGAAGGCAGCAGGCGCGCAAAUUACCCAAUCCCGACACGGGGAGGUAGUGACAAUAAAUACUGAUACAGGGCUCUUUUGGGUCUUGUAAUUGGAAUGAGUACAAUUUAAAUCCCUUAACGAGGAACAAUUGGAGGGCAAGUCUGGUGCCAGCAGCCGCGGUAAUUCCAGCUCCAAUAGCGUAUAUUAAAGUUGUUGCAGUUAAAAAGCUCGUAGUUGAACCUUGGGCCUGGUUGGUCGGUCCGCCUCGCGGCGUGCACUGAUCCGACCGGGCCUUUCCUUCUGGGGAACCGCAUGCCCUUCAUUGGGUGUGUUGGGGAUCCAGGACUUUUACUUUGAAAAAAUUAGAGUGUUCAAAGCAGGCAUAUGCUCGAAUACAUUAGCAUGGAAUAAUAGAAUAGGACGUGUGGUUCUAUUUUGUUGGUUUCUAGGACCGCCGUAAUGAUUAAUAGGGAUAGUCGGGGGCAUCAGUAUUCCGUUGUCAGAGGUGAAAUUCUUGGAUUUACGGAAGACUAACUACUGCGAAAGCAUUUGCCAAGGAUGUUUUCAUUAAUCAGUGAACGAAAGUUAGGGGAUCGAAGACGAUCAGAUACCGUCGUAGUCUUAACCAUAAACUAUGCCGACUAGGGAUCGGGCGAUGUUA
rnacentral:rRNA from 1 species